UCCGAAUUAGUGUAACGGUCAACAUAUCGCGUUUUCAGUUCUAAAACCGCGAAGCUCGGGGUUCGAUUCCCCGAUUCGGAG